ACAUGUCUGCCAUCUGAUGCAUGUAGCCAAUACCUCCUAUUAGGUACAUUGUAGGAUGGCACUAAAUAAGGGACCCUCUGGGCAUGAAGUCAGUAGGUAGGAUACAAUGGCAUCUAGUUUUGAAUUCCAGAGCACCCCCUUGAGCUAGUGCUAAUAUUUACCCCAAAAUACCUUUAGGGAUCUCCAACCUGAAAUAGAUGCUGGUUGACCUGCCUCCAUCCAUCUGAAACUGGAUCCAUCUCCAUGAGACACAACUGCCAGUCUUCAUGCAAUGCUUCCAAAGCUGUGAGAAAGUAAUUAAUCACCAACAUUAACCAAGUCUACAAAGCCCAUUCAGUCCCCAUAUCAAGUUCCUAAAAGAAAAAGAGAGAGAUAGGAUUUUCAUACUGGAUUCCUAAGGUGUCGUGACCUGAAGUCCCUCUGAGGCAUGAGACCUGGAAAAUCUGAUCAGCUGAAGAGACUCUUGGCAAAAUGGUGCCUCAAGGAGGGAAGAAGAAGGUCAUCUGGUAAGGCAGCCCCAUGUUCAGCAUCAAAGAGCUACUUUAACACCUGCGCUACACAAUUGUCCAUGAUAAGGCAGGGGAGAGGCCCGAUGGUACCAGAAUGUUCUUGGCUGAACCUGUGUAGCUGCUGGAAGCCAUUCAUUUUUUGGCUUAGUUAUUCAAUUGGUUAAUUAACAUUCCGCUAACAGUACUCAAUCCAGUAUCCAAUUAAUUUCAUUUUAAAACAAAUCAUAUAGUAAAACAGCAAUAAGAAGAAACCCAGAGAUUUAUUUUGCUUUUAUUACGCUUUUGUUACUCUCUUAGAAAAGGAAUACACUGCUUCCAAUGCUUUUAGGGACAUUCCCAAAGGGAAUGACUCGAAAAAUCCCUUGGGCGCUUCAGUAGAAAAAAAAUAUGAAUAUUAAUUAAAAAUUAAGUACACACAUACAUACAUAAGACAAAAUUGAAUGCAAAACUUCAAGAACUGGCAUAAACUGUAAAAAAAAACAGACCGGACAAACCAGAAGUAAAAUAUCUGAAACAACAAAUACAGUGGUGCCUCACUAAACGAUUACCUCGCAAAACGGUUAAUUCACAAGAUGAUGGGUUUUUGCGAUUGCUAUAGUGCUUCACAAAACGAUUUUCCCUAUGGGCAAUUUUUGCUAGACGAUGUUUCAGUCCAUGCUUCGCAAGACGGUUUUUUUUUGGGGGGGGGAGGGUUUUUCGCAAGAUGACGAUUUUGACAGCUGGGUCUGUGCUUCGCAAGAUGGUAUUUUUAGGGACUUUUUUUGCAAGAAAGCGAUUUUGACAGCUGGGUCUGCACUUCAAAAAACGGUUUUCCUAUGGGUGAUUUUCGCAACACAAUGAUUUCCCCCAUUGGAAUGCAUUAAAUGGAUUUCAGUGCAUUCCAAUGGGGAACCGCAUUUCGCAAGAUGAUGUUUUCGCAAGACAGCGAUUUUCGCAGAACGAAUUAACAUUAUCUUGCGAGGCACCACUGUAUAGCAAUAUAAAACCAGGGUCUAAGGGUUUGGCUGUCUAUUCUGGCCAUUAUGGCAUGCCACCCAAAAUUUUGCUACCAAUUUUGUAGUGGUCCGAUUUUGAUCAAUUAACAAUUGGUUAAAGUAAUAAAUUAAG
ensembl:lncRNA